GAGCCUACGGGACGCAGCAGUGGGGGAUAUUGCACAAUGGGGAGAACCCUGAUGCAGCGACGCCGCGUGGGUGAAGGAGUAUUUCGGUAUGUAAAGCCCUAUCGGCAGGGAAGAAGAAAGACGGUACCUGACUAAGAAGCCCCGGCUAACUACGUGCCAGCAGCCGCGGUAAUACGUAGGGGGCGAGCGUUAUCCGGAUUCACUGGGUGUAAAGGGAGCGUAGACGGCCAAGCAAGCCAGGGGUGAAAGCCCGGGGGCCAACCCCGGGACCGCCCUUGGAACGGCAUGGCUGGAGUGCGGGAGGG
rnacentral:rRNA from 1 species